rnacentral:rRNA from 1 species
CCUGGCUCAGGACGAACGCUGGCGGCGCGCCUAACACAUGCAAGUCGAACGAGCGAUGGAGAGCUUGCUUUCCAGAGCGAGUGGCGAACGGGUGAGUAACGCGUGAGGAACCUGCCUCAAAGAGGGGGACAACAGUUGGAAACGACUGCUAAUACCGCAUAAGCCCACGGCUCGGCAUCGAGCAGAGGGAAAAGGAGUGAUCCGCUUUGAGAUGGCCUCGCGUCCGAUUAGCUGGUUGGUGAGGUAACGGCCCACCAAGGCGACGAUCGGUAGCCGGACUGAGAGGUUGAACGGCCACAUUGGGACUGAGACACGGCCCAGACUCCUACGGGAGGCAGCAGUGGGGAAUAUUGCACAAUGGGGGAAACCCUGAUGCAGCGACGCCGCGUGGAGGAAGAAGGUCUUCGGAUUGUAAACUCCUGUUGUUGAGGAAGAUAAUGACGGUACUCAACAAGGAAGUGACGGCUAACUACGUGCCAGCAGCCGCGGUAAAACGUAGGUCACAAGCGUUGUCCGGAAUUACUGGGUGUAAAGGGAGCGCAGGCGGGAGAACAAGUUGGAAGUGAAAUCCAUGGGCUCAACCCAUGAACUGCUUUCAAAACUGUUUUUCUUGAGUAGUGCAGAGUAGGCGGAAUUCCCGGUGUAGCGGUGGAAUGCGUAGAUAUCGGGAGGAACACCAGUGGCGAAGGCGGCCUACUGGGCACCAACUGACGCUGAGGCUCGAAAGUGUGGGUAGCAAACAGGAUUAGAUACCCUGGUAGUCCACACCGUAAACGAUGAUUACUAGGUGUUGGAGGAUUGACCCCUUCAGUGCCGCAGUUAACACAAUAAGUAAUCCACCUGGGGAGUACGACCGCAAGGUUGAAACUCAAAGGAAUUGACGGGGGCCCGCACAAGCAGUGGAGUAUGUGGUUUAAUUCGACGCAACGCGAAGAACCUUACCAAGUCUUGACAUCCCUUGACGAACAUAGAAAUAUGUUUUCUCUUCGGAGCAAGGAGACAGGUGGUGCAUGGUUGUCGUCAGCUCGUGUCGUGAGAUGUUGGGUUAAGUCCCGCAACGAGCGCAACCCUUAUGGUCAGUUACUACGCAAGAGGACUCUGGCCAGACUGCCGUUGACAAAACGGAGGAAGGUGGGGAUGACGUCAAAUCAUCAUGCCCUUUAUGACUUGGGCUACACACGUACUACAAUGGCGUUAAACAAAGAGAAGCAAGACCGCGAGGUGGAGCAAAACUCAGAAACAACGUCCCAGUUCGGACUGCAGGCUGCAACUCGCCUGCACGAAGUCGGAAUUGCUAGUAAUCGUGGAUCAGCAUGCCACGGUGAAUACGUUCCCGGGCCUUGUACACACCGCCC